UACGUAGGGGGCAAGCGUUGUCCGGAUUUAUUGGGCGUAAAGAGCGUGUAGGCGGUUUGGUAGGUCCGCUGUGAAAACUCGAGGCUCAACCUCGAGACGCCGGUGGAAACCAUCAGGCUAGAGUCCGGAAGAGGAGAGUGGAAUUCCUGGUGUAGCGGUGAAAUGCGCAGAUAUCAGGAAGAACACCCGUGGCUAAGGCGGCUCUCUGGGACGGUACUGACGCUGAGACGCGAAAGCGUGGGGAGCGAACAGG
rnacentral:rRNA from 1 species